GACGAACGCUGGCGGCGUGCUUAACACAUGCAAGUCGAACGGUGAAGGGACCAGCUUGCUGGUUCUGGAUGAGUGGCGAACGGGUGAGUAACACGUGAGUAACCUGCCCCCUUCUUCUGGAUAACCGCAUGAAAGUGUGGCUAAUACGGGAUAUUCUGGGUCUGUCGCAUGGCGGGCCCGGGAAAGAUAUUGCUUCGGUGGGGGAUGGGCUCGCGGCCUAUCAGCUUGUUGGUGGGGUGAUGGCCUACCAAGGCGGUGACGGGUAGCCGGCCUGAGAGGGGGGACGGUCACACUGGGACUGAGACACGGCCCAGACGCCUACGGGAGGCAGCAGUGGGGAAUAUUGCACAAUGGGCGCAAGCCUGAUGCAGCGACGCCGCGUGAGGGAGGGAGGCCUUCGGGUUGUAAACCUCUUUCGCCAGUGAAGCAGGCCUGCUCCUUGUGGGUGGGUUGACGGUAGCUGGAUAAGAAGCGCCGGCUAACUACGUG
rnacentral:rRNA from 1 species